rnacentral:rRNA from 1 species
AUACGUAGGGUGCAAGCGUUAAUCGGAAUUACUGGGCGUAAAGCGUGCGCAGGCGGUUUUGUAAGACAGAGGUGAAAUCCCCGGGCACAACCUUGGAACUGCCUUUGUUACUGCAAGGCUCGAGUACGGCAGAGGGGGAUGGAAUUCCGCGUGUAGCAGUGAAAUGCGUAGAUAAGCGGAGGAACACCGAUGGCGAAGGCAAUCCCCUGGGCCUGUACUGACGCUCAUGCACGAAAGCGUGGGGAGCAAACAGGAUUAGAUACCCUGGUAGUCCACGCCCUAAACGAUGUCAACUGGUUGUUGGGGAUUUAUUUUCUCAGUAACGAAGCUAACGCGUGAAGUUGACCGCCUGGGGAGUACGGCCGCAAGG